rfam:Triticum aestivum genome assembly, contig: Triticum_aestivum_CS42_TGACv1_scaffold_321045_4BL
GUUCUACUCCCCCCGUGGAGUUUCAAAAAAAUUUGUCUUAGAUUUAUCUAAAUACGGAUGUAUCAAAUCAUGUUUUAGUAUUAGAUACAUCCGUAUCUAGACAAAUGCAAGACAAGAAUUUUGGGACGGAAGGAGUAAUUC